GGCGGGAUAGCUCAGAUGGUAGAGCAACGGACUGAAAAUCCGUGUGUCCCCAGUUCGAUUCUGGGUCCCGCCA
rnacentral:tRNA from 1 species